GGUCAUGUGGCCUAGUGGUCAUGGCAUCUGCCCGGUAAGCGGAAGGUCGUGGGUUCGAUUCCCAUCCCUUGACAU
rnacentral:tRNA from 1 species